rnacentral:rRNA from 1 species
UACGUAGGUGGCAAGCGUUGUCCGGAAUUAUUGGGCGUAAAGCGCGCGCAGGCGGUUUUUUAAGUCUGAUGUGAAAGCCCCCGGCUCAACCGGGGAGGGUCAUUGGAAACUGGGAAACUUGAGUGCAGAAGAGGAAAGUGGAAUUCCAAGUGUAGCGGUGAAAUGCGUAGAGAUUUGGAGGAACACCAGUGGCGAAGGCGGCCACCUGGACGGCAACUGACGCUGAGACGCGAAAGCGUGGGGAGCAAACAGG